UACGUAGGGGGCAAGCGUUGUCCGGAAUCAUUGGGCGUAAAGCGCGUGUAGGCGGCUCGAUAAGUCCGCUGUGAAAGUCCAGGGCUCAACCCUGGAAUGCCGGUGGAAACUGUCGAGCUAGAGUCCGGAAGAGGCGAGUGGAAUUCCUGGUGUAGCGGUGAAAUGCGCAGAUAUCAGGAGGAACACCAAUGGCGAAGGCAGCUCGCUGGGACGGUACUGACGCUAAGGCGCGAAAGCGUGGGGAGCGAACAGG
rnacentral:rRNA from 1 species